rnacentral:rRNA from 1 species
GGCGGACGGGUGAGUAAUAUAUAGGUAAUGUGCCCUAGAGAAGAGGAUAACAGUUGGAAACGACUGCUAAUACUCUAUAUGCCUUUAAGACAAAAGUCUGCAAGGGAAAUAUUUAUAGCUCUAGGAUCGGCCUGUACGGUAUCAGCUAGUUGGUGAGGUAAUGGCUCACCAAGGCAAUGACGCCUAACUGGUUUGAGAGGAUGAUCAGUCACACUGGAACUGAGACACGGUCCAGACUCCUACGGGAGGCAGCAGUGGGGAAUAUUGCACAAUGGGGGAAACCCUGAUGCAGCAACGCCGCGUGGAGGAUGACACAUUUCGGUGCGUAAACUCCUUUUAUAUAGGAAGAUAAUGACGGUACUAUAUGAAUAAGCGCCGGCUAACUCCGUGCCAGCAGCCGCGGUAAUACGGAGGGCGCAAGCGUUACUCGGAAUCACUGGGCGUAAAGAGCGUGUAGGCGGGUUAAUAAGUUUGAAGUGAAAUCCUAUGGCUCAACCAUAGAACUGCUUUGAAAACUGUUAACCUAGAAUAUGGGAGAGGUAGAUGGAAUUUCUGGUGUAGGGGUAAAAUCCGUAGAGAUCAGAAGGAAUACCGAUUGCGAAGGCGAUCUACUGGAACAUUAUUGACGCUGAGACGCGAAAGCGUGGGGAGCAAACAGGAUUAGAUACCCUGGUAGUCCACGCCCUAAACGAUGUACACUAGUUGUUGUGAGGCUAGACCUUGCAGUAAUGCAGUAAACACAUUAAGUGUACCGCC